AAAAUGUUGAAAUUGGACACUAUUUAAGAGUACAUUCUUAACCUUUAUAACCCUCCUUUACAAUUGUUUCUAAUUCGAAAUGUAGAACCAGUCAGACCACACCCGAUUGUUUUAGUCUUAAAUAGAUAUCGCAUGUAAUUUCAACACUUCCAGGAAUCCGAAGCAUCGCUAUUUAAAAGGGAUAGGCACGGAGGGAUGUAGUGGCACAUUGGAUGUAGGAAAAGCGGGCGUAUCUUUUCCCGGCUGCAGAAGGUAGAGGUUAAAAAGCUGUGGGAACGGGUCAGAGGAAAGAGGGGGGCGGGAGGAAUGGGAAAGGGUACAGUAGAAAGGCAGGCAGGGUGUUUUCUUAACGUAAAGGAAGAGUUAAAUCAGAAGUUAAUAGCUUAUUGUGAGUUAUUAAAACGAUAGCCUACACCGCCGAGAUCUGGGAAACCGAAAGUUAUCUAAUUAUAUAAGACAUAAACAAGAGAAGGAGACCUCGAUGUCGGGAAUAGGACACGGUCUGGAAUAGGGUGAAGGAUGGAGGGAGAUACAGAGAAAGAGACAGCAGAGGAGAAGGAAGGUGAUGAUACAGAGCUGUCUGGUGAGGAAGGGGUGGGGCGACUUCAUCAGAGCGGAAGGUCCUCGGAUGAAGACCAGGACCUACCCAUCAUGCAGUGGGAGGACCUGAGCCUGCGUAUCGCCGAGCUAGAGAAACAGGAGGAGGAGAGGAGGGAGAGGGCAAAGGUCAGAGGGCAUAAAGAGAGGGAGUAGAUGUUUUUGUGCUCUGCCCUUAAUGACAGAUCUGAGAUUAGUUUAUCUGCCCCAAAUCAAGACCUUAACAAUUAGCGGGAACAGCACAACAUUGACCUUAGAUCAGAAUCUAGGGGUAACUUCAUCCUACUUCUCUCUUUGCCUUACACAUGUGACUGUCAUCUACUGGUAUUAGGCUGAAAGCUGGAGCCCGAGAUCACAGUAAUAAUCUCUGUUAAUUAGAUGAUAGGAAUAACACCCUGUGAACCCCUGGCAUUAAAGCUGAACUUGUCUGUUUGAAAAAGACUGCAGAGAUGGGUUUAAUGACACCCUUACACUCUCAAAUACCCCACCACCACACGUCUCCACCUUUUCCCUCCUCCCAUGUCAUCUCUCCAUCCCUGAUCCCUCCCUCUAUUCCUCUCUUUCAGAGUACGAGUGGGUCGGAACAGGGGAGUGUGUCAGGGGGCUGGGCGGAGGAGAGGCAGGGUGGGCGGAGGAGGAGAGAGGAAUGGGAGGAGGAGGACUAUGGAAGGUGUCGAGUUACUGUUUUCUCAUCUAGAUUCCACAACCACAGAAAUCUACAAUUAUGCUACACCAACAACAGUGAGAGCGAGGAUGAUGAUAAGGAGGAGGGGGCUGGCAAAGAGGGUUCUAAAGAGGCAGGUAGCCAUGGUUACCAUCCCUCUGGCCUGAAGCUGGAGGUGAGGGCUGCACUGAGUGCGCUUAAAAACAAGCUGCUCGCUGAACAGAAAGAGAAGGAGCACCUCGCCUGUGUGAUCACUAAGAGGAAGCAUCUGGAAUGCUGUGACCUGCAGAUCUGCUCAAUACAACAGCUCAGCUCCCUCAGGACCUCACUCAACCACGACAUACACGACCUGAGCUCUGAGUUGGUGGGUCACCUGUUGAUAAGGGACCAGCUGAGGACCAAACAGGAUGCCAUGCUCCUGGAUGUACAGGAUCUGACAUAAUGUUGACCCACAGGUGCACAGGAUGUGACAUCACCACUGCCAUGGACAGGGUACCAGGACAGGAAGUCAUUGUGACCAAUAGUGGAUAAAGGGAUUUUGGCCCAGAUAUGCCACUAUGAGACUGUCAGAAGUAUUUCCGUAGCAGCCUACUCAACAUGAUUUUUCGUAAAGGAGAAAUGUUGAUUAUGAGCAACUGAUGAGCAGCAUCUUGGACCGGCGUCAUAAUACAAUUCAUAUUUCACAGACAGGGUAUGGAUAACUUUCUCUUCAUCAUCCCCACCUGAUCUUGACCAGCAUAAUCUUCAUCAUCAUUAGUGGACAGAGUACUGUAUUAGGACCUUUUUUGACUUACGCAUGCACUUAAACAAAAAUAUUUAAUAUCAGAAAGAGGGUUUUAAGCCAUUUGUGAUGUUGUUUGAAACAUCUCUAGUAAUAUCUGACUCCUAGUGUUUUGCCUGUGGUAAGAAAGUCCUAUUUAUCUUGGGGGUGUCAGAUGGAGAACCUUCACAGCCAUAGUGUAACGCAACAUUCAAUGAGUUAUAUCAUUUACAUAUAUGAGGGAUACCGCUUUUGCAUAAGUUUUAUUGUGUAAACAUUGCAAUAUCCUUGACUUACUGAUUUAAGGGAAUUGUCCACUUAUAACCUGUAUAAAACAAGCUAAGGAGCUGCAUAUUCAGGCUAAAGGGAACAGUCCUGUAACAAUUUGGUAGAGAAGUUUCUUUGUUGGUAAUUAACCUCUAUUAUGUAUAAUAUGAGCCUCAUGUAGUUGUUGAUGUAAGGGAAUUGUCCGCAUAGUGCCAAUAAGCCUGUGGGUAUUGCCAUUAUGUAUUUUAUGAUAUACCUGGUUUCCAGCCAUAACUAUAACUACCACCAGCAUAGGAAACUACAAAGCUGCAAUUGGUCGAUUGACUCCAUGCCAGCAUAGUCCGAAAAUAUUUUGUGUUUCUCAGAUUGUUCUGGUAAUUCUCACAUAGAAACUUCAUUGGGAUGAAGGAUGUUUGAUGUGCUUUUUACAUUUGUAACACAAAUCAGGUUUUUUUUUUUAUCAUGAUGGAAGUGGCAAUUUUAGGCCCUUUUUAAUCCUAUGCAUGACAACACCUUGGUGUCAUUAUACCCCUAAUAGCUCUAAAAUAUGGACUAUCAUUGCAUUCUGAAAUACAAUUUUACACAUUAAUUUAUUCAAGAUUAAAACUAUUAAUAUUAUCUCAAAAGUACCCUUUUUGAUUUUGUUAAGUUUUAGACAUAUUGUUUUAAACAAUAUACUUUACUAGUACAUCAAAUUUCCAGAGUGGGCUCUCUGUUACUUUUAAAGUUAUGAUUCAAAGGGAACUCCUUCUGCUGGUGAUUUUCUGAAUGUGCAAUCCUACAGUAGGGCUGUGAUUGGUUAAUUACCUAUAACGUCCAUUUCUUUGUAUACUGAACAAUAAUAUAAAUGCAACAUGUAAAUGGUUGGUCCCAUGUUUCAUGAACUGAAAUAAAAGAUCCCAGAAAUGUUCCAUACUCACAAAAAGCUUAAUUAUCUAAAAUUCUGUGCACAAAUUUAUUGACAACCCUGUUAGUGAGAGUUUAUCCUUUGCCAAUAUAAUCCAUCCACCUGACAGGUGUGGCAUAUCAAGAAGCUGAUUAAACAGCAUGAACAUUACACAGGUGAACCUUGUGCUGGGAACAAUAAAAGGCCACCCUAAAAUGUGCAGUUUUGUCACACAAUGCCACAGAUGUCUCAACUUUUGAGGGAUUGCAGGAAUGUCCACUAGAGUUGUUGCCAGGGAAUUGAAUAUUAAUUUCUCUAGGACCUCCACAUCUAGCUUCUUUACCUGCGGGAUUGUCUGAGGGUGGGAUUGCUGAGGAGUAUUUCUGUCUGUAAUAAAGCCCUUUUGUGGGGGAAAAUGUAUUCUGAUUGGCUGGGCCUGGCUCCCAAGUGGGUGGGCCUAUGCCCUCCCAUGUGAAAUCCAUAGAUUAGGGCCUAGUACAUGUAUUUAAAUUGACUGAUUUCCUUAUAUGAACAGUAACUCAGUAAAAUAAUUGAAAUUGUUGCAUAUUGUGUUUAUAUUUUUGUUCAGUAUAUAACAUAAUUUCUUCAAAGUGGUAGAGAGCCCACUCUGGGAAUGUGAUGCUUGAAAUAUAUAUGUUUCCAAAUCGUGUUUCUAAAAUUAAGCAAAACCAAAAAGUGUACUUUUGAGAUAUUAAAAAUAAAUAUAAUAUCUUACCUGGUUUUCUGGUGAUAUGAAAGAUUGUCAUUUGUCACUUUAAAAUAUACCAGCCUGUUUCUUCCGUCUUGCCGUUGUCCUGCUAUCACAGUUCAUUGUUUCAUCAUACUACAAAUACACACGAUUAUUGGAAGUACCACAUAUAAUAAUUGCUAGUUAAGACACGAGGUAAUAAGGCCAGGAGAUUUUCCUGACCAUGUGACCUGACCAGGGACAAACACCAGGCUCAAGUUACUGGACCAGAGUCUUUCCUCUUCAAGUCACAUGAUCAGGAAAAACUCCUGGCCUUAUUACCUGUUGUGUCUUAACUAGCAAUUAUUAUAUGUGGUACUUCCAAUAAUCGUGUGUAUUUGUAGUAUGAUGAAACAAUGAACUUUUAGCAGAUUCAAGGCCAUGGGAAAGGGGUGAAUGCUAUGAAGUAACAUUGAACUUUAUAAUCUCUG
rnacentral:lncRNA from 1 species